rnacentral:rRNA from 1 species
AUUGAACGCUGGCGGCAGGCUUAACACAUGCAAGUCGAGCGGGGGAAGGUAGCUUGCUACCGGACCUAGCGGCGGACGGGUGAGUAAUGCUUAGGAAUCUGCCUAUUAGUGGGGGACAACAUCUCGAAAGGGAUGCUAAUACCGCAUACGUCCUACGGGAGAAAGCAGGGGAUCUUCGGACCUUGCGCUAAUAGAUGAGCCUAAGUCGGAUUACCUAGUUGGUGGGGUAAAGGCCUACCAAGGCGACGAUCUGUAGCGGGUCUGAGAGGAUGAUCCGCCACACUGGGACUGAGACACGGCCCAGACUCCUACGGGAGGCAGCAGUGGGGAAUAUUGGACAAUGGGGGGAACCCUGAUCCAGCCAUGCCGCGUGUGUGAAGAAGGCCUUAUGGUUGUAAAGCACUUUAAGCGAGGAGGAGGCUACUUUAGUUAAUACCUAGAGAUAGUGGACGUUACUCGCAGAAUAAGCACCGGCUAACUCUGUGCCAGCAGCCGCGGUAAUACAGAGGGUGCGAGCGUUAAUCGGAUUUACUGGGCGUAAAGCGUGCGUAGGCGGCUUAUUAAGUCGGAUGUGAAAUCCCCGAGCUUAACUUGGGAAUUGCAUUCGAUACUGGUGAGCUAGAGUAUGGGAGAGGAUGGUAGAAUUC